UAGGGAAUCUUCGGCAAUGGGGGGAACCCUGACCGAGCAACGCCGCGUGAGUGAAGAAGGUUUUCGGAUCGUAAAGCUCUGUUGUUAAGGAAGAACGAGUGUGAGAAUGGAAAGUUCAUGCUGUGACGGUACUUAACCAGAAAGGGACGGCUAACUACGUGCCAGCAGCCGCGGUAAUACGUAGGUGGCAAGCGUUGUCCGGAUUUAUUGGGCGUAAAGCGAGCGCAGGCGGUCAAUUAAGUCUGAUGUGAAAGCCCCCGGCUCAACCGGGGAGGGUCAUUGGAAACUGGUUGACUUGAGUGCAGAAGAGGAGAGUGGAAUUCCAUGUGUAACGGUGAAAUGCGUAGAUAUAUGGAGGAACACCAGUGGCGAAGGCGACUCUCUGGUCUGUAACUGACGCUGAUGUGCGAAAGCGUGGGGAUCAAACAGG
rnacentral:rRNA from 1 species